GGGUGCAGCCGACCUGCCAUUGGAGAUCGGGAAUGACUAUCUGUUGUGUGCGCGCAGCUGAGGAUGCCCAGGGCCUGGGCUGCAUGGGGGUAGCGUUAAGAUCUGGGCACAGCGUGCGACACUGAAGAAUUAAUGUGACCUCUGAGACUCAAAGGACCUGACUUUGGAUGAAACAAGGAGAGGAAUCAAAUCUGAACACAGGACCUGUCGCUUCCUACCAGGAUGGAAAAGCUGUGGCAGCUAUGGAAUGAUUAAGCAUUCAGCACUCUGUCUGCCACUGUGGAAGGACAGAUGAAGGAGGCUGUGGGAGUUCAGAGGAGGAAGAGUCCCUCGUAAGUGAAGGUGGAUUCGAUCCCUAGCCCAGGAACCUCCAUAUGCCAUGGGUGUGGCCAAAAAAGAAAAAAAAAAAAAAAGUCGAGGCAUUUUUCUGACCUCUUCACCACUAUAUCCUCUGAGGAGUGCCUGACGUAGUGGUUGCUCUGAAAAUAUGUGCUGAAUGACAGAUGUGGUGAAGGUCUAGCCAAUGGGAUGUAAAUGGAAGUGAUGGGUGUAACGUUCACGUGAUGACCAUAAAGCGACGGGACGUGUGCCCACGAGUACCCGUCUUUCUCCAGCCAGCAUGAGCAGAACCAUAAAGUUACAUUCAGACUUCAGCCUCAGAAUCCAGAGGCUGUCUCAGCCAACUCCAGUCCUUCUGAGCUUCUCCCUAGCUCCACAGUGACUCUGGACUAUUGUGGGAAGUAAUGCUAGCAAGAAGGUACCUAGAUCUUAUCCACAAAUGAUUUAGCACUGUUUUUUCUACUUACCUGUUUCCGUUGCAAAUGGCAUUGUCAUAAGCAAAGAAGGCUCUGAAUUCCAAUGGCCUGGUGAGACAACACUUUAAAUACAAUUGGCAAAAAUCCUGUCUGCAGGGAAGGAAAGGAAAAACCCAGUGAAAUGUAAAAUGACAACCAAGAGCAGGAUAGGCAAACAGUAGCUGGUAGUUCCAGUUCCCAUAUGGUCUGCCAAAUGCUAGAUGCAGUCUUAGGAAGGCCACAACCUGUGUCAAAGCACAACCCACACAUAACCCACAUAUCCCUUCACCUUUAGGGGAUUAUAAGUGUUACUUUGAAAGAUGUAUGUGGGAGUUACCGUCAUGGCUCAGUGGUUAACGAAUCCGACUAGGAACCAUGAGGUUGUGGGUUCGAUCCCUGGCCUUGCUCAGUGGGUUAAGGAUCUGGCGUUGCCGUGAGCUGUGGUGUAGGUUGCAGACGCAGCUUGGAUCCAGCAUUGCUGUGGCUCUGGCGUAGGCUGGCAGCUGCAGCUCUGAUUCGACCCCUAGCCUGGGAACCUCCAAAUGCCGUGGAUGCAAAAAUGGCAAAAAAACAAAACAAAAAAAAAA
rnacentral:lncRNA from 1 species